UGCCCCGUGGUGCAAAGGCAGCACAACGGAUUUUGGUUCCGUCGAUCCUGGUUCGAAUCCAGGCGGGGCAGCCA
rnacentral:tRNA from 1 species